UUGAGAAGAAUAAGAAGGAAGAGGCUCCUUUGUUGUGUGACAAGAAUAGAAACACAGUGGGAAACAAAAAGCAGCGCUGCUUUCUACUCUCAAUAUAUACUGAUGCUUCAUUUGGUGGUGUCCCUGGAGAAUGCGGAGUUUCAUAUUGUGUGCCUAUGAUCCUAUGAGGAGAAAAACAAGUGAAAAAUACAAUUAUGUGGAUACCUCAGAAGUUGGCGUUACCGUUCACUGAAGAAUUACAUAAGUCCUUGCUUUUGCAAACUGAAAGAAGUCCUAAGAUGCGCUCCGCUUUCACCACAAAAACGAAAAGUUCAGCUCUGGCUGUGCAGUACCCUGUGCCCGAGCAGAAAGAGCGGGUGGCCGAGCUCCUUCCAGAAGAACUGCGUGCAGGGUCAAGCGACCACCACCUGGACUUUCCCCCCAGUCUACUGUACCUCCCACCACCCCAACCUCUGAUGACCCGGCCUAACACCAUCAUCACCACUUCUCUCCAGUGUGCUUGCUGCCUUCCAUUCUAGAACGUCCACAUUGUUUUCUGAGGGGUUGGACCUGUCCACGCUGCACCAACAGUGGAUGAGAGAUCCUUUUUCUCCAUUGCAGCAGUAUUUACAAAAGCUGAGUUAUGGAAGCAACCCAAGUGUCAAAGGACUGAGACUGAAUGCACUUGGAGACGAGAGUGUGGAGAGAAGAGGGAA